GAUCCAUUUGCUGUAGCUUUUAUGGAUGACCUUCCUGUUCAAGAAAAUUCAGAUUGUGGUGUGUAUGCUACUGCUUUUGCCGAAUAUUUGAUUGAAGGGAAGCGUAUUCCGAAGGCUCUUCGUAUUAAACAAAUACGUAACAGAUAUGCAGUUAAUCUUUUCAUGUAUGGUAGGUGGAAGAACAAGAGUGGUUAUGUAUCUGAUUGAAUUGUAAUUUUUGUUUUUGUUGUACAUUUGUUGAUUUGUUUUUACAGUUUUAGUAAUGUUUGACAAUUUUUUUUUUGUAAAUACUAUUAAGGAAGGAUUUGAUUUUAUUAUGA